UUAGUUGACGGGGUUUGAGCGAAAUCCCAUGAUUUGCAGGGCCUUUGAGUGUCGACUACCACGAAAUUUGUCAUAUAAAGUUCGGUACCCGGCGCCUCCACCAAAAACCGGCCAGGCGAGCUUUGCUUCAGACCGGCUUUUGAUGGGGGCGAAAUAGGAUCGACAAGGGCGUAAAGAUCGACUUUUUGCUCGGCAUUGUACCACCGUUAUCGGGCUAAAAUUGUAGUUGCAAACGACAACUAUGCGGAAGCUCGUCUCGCUGCCUAACGGUGGUGUGACACUUCAAAUCAAGUCCUGAAGGUUCGCACCUUAAGGCGGGGUUCGAAGGUACCUGGCAACAGAAACCUUCACC
rnacentral:tmRNA from 1 species